UUUUUAAAUAGUUCUAACAAAUCACAAAUGUUGCGUAAUGUCACUUGAAAACCACAAGGUUUAUUAAUCUAGUCACUCACAAAGUUGCCAAUAAAACCCAACAUUAUCUAAUCGGGUAACAAGUAUUGUUUGUGCUACGCUGAAACUUUUUUAUCUCCAACUGCAAUAAAUCGUUCGCCACGAGAGCGUUUCAUAUGAAAAUAUCUCGUUUUUUAAAGUCGAAAUUGAGCACCAUGAGGGUGAGGACCAUCAGGACAAGGACUAUGCAGUAUGGCCCAAUGUCUGAUAUCGAAUGAUACACUUUCACCCUGUAGACUUGCACGUGCAUCUAUGCAAGCUGAUUUAAUACCCACGGUCUCAACAAGAGAAACCAGUCAUUCAUUCAGCCCACAGAAUUGUACUUGUUAACGAACUUCAAUAAAUAUUUGGAAUUCGAAAAUCCUAUUUAGAAUAUCUGCUUUCCAAUACUUGUUAGAAAAAGAUGUGGAUAUUUGAAUGUUGAUUGUUAUUUUAAAAAAUACUAAAACAUUCAUAGUAACAGUUGGAUGCUAUGAAAGCUUUUCCUUAUAAAACUUGAAAAAAUUAAGUAUUAUUCUGGGAACACUUCGGUUUGAAAAUCGUUGUUAUAUGAAAAUUGUAAACACUUACUUCUUGUUCUUUCUAAAUUCACAAUCAAACAAAAAAAAAUUGCUAGUAAAUAAGCCAAUCAUUCCUCUGAAACGUUCUUUCUGUAGCCGAUGAACUUUUGCAUGCAGCCCACAUUGAAAUUCGAGUUCAAAACUUUGGAUUUUAAAAGGGAACUGAAUAAUCUGAGUGGAAAUUUAGAAGAUGACGAAUAACCCUGUAUGGGUUGAAUGAGAACAGUCACAGCUAAGCAUUUUUGGAGUCCACACGUAAUGUUUAUUAAUGUUCGUUAUAGGAUUAGAAUAAAUAUUGUAUUUGAAGA